CCAGUUAUCCAUGAGAACAGGGUGAGAUUCCAGUGUUUCCUCCAGAAAGGCACAUUAUUCCUCCACCAUGGUCUUCUUUUUCCUGUGUACCUUGACCCUGUAGGAGAUGAGACUUCUAAAGUGAUUCCUUUCCCUCUUUUCUCCUCAUCACCCCUUCCCACUCUCUAAGGUUUUCAGGUGCUGGUUCCAUGGCUCUUCCUGAGCCGAAAAUAAGGAAACUCCAUAGACCUUGUCCACUGGAACUCGUUCCCAUCUACCCUCCACUCUAUCCAGGGUGAUGGAUCUCUGCAGUAAGUGGAAGAGUUCUUCAUGGCCCCCAAGGUUAUAUCCAUCUAGAACUUCAGCACGUAAUUUCAUCUGGAAAUAGUGCCUUUGCGGAUAUAAGUUAGGUAAAACUGAAGAUGAGAUCAUACUGGAUUAGGAUGGGAUCUAAAUCCAAUGAAAAUGUCUUCAUAAAAAACAGGAAAGAACCCAUAGAAACACAAGGAAGAAGGUCAUGUGAAGAUGGAGGCAGAGAUUGGAGGGAUGCAGCCACCGGCCCAGGAAUGCCAGCAGCCACCCAGAAGCUGGAAGGAAAUGAGGGAUUCUCUCCUAGAACCUUUAGAGAGAACAUGGUCCUGUGAACAGCUUGAUUUUGGACUUGCCCAUAGCUUGUAUACUCUUACUUUGGAUACAAUUUUAUCCAAACUUGGCUAAACAGUUUCUCAGCCUAUGGAAAAUUUAAAAUGGAGAAGAUUCAACUCGAUUCUUACAGAUUCAAAGCAAGAAAAUGAUGGGAACAUAGGAGGAGACCAAGAAAGCCUAUAAAAAGCAAAAAUAUGAAGUGAACAUUGUGGUAGCUUUAAGAUGUUUAGUGUAGCUGCAGGCACCCUAUACACAUGAAAACCCCCAAGGGGAAUCCCCAUAUCACAGUGUAGUGUGAUAUUUGACAUUCGUGAUCAUCUAGAGAUGUACAGAAAAGGUGAAUCUGUGUUCUGUAUAUUCUGCCUAAGGCAAAGAAAUGUUUAGCUCUCUUUAAAAUAGUUCCAUAAUUUUUUCUAAAAAGCUUUGCUUGAAAACUGUAAGCUUCCCAUAUCUGGAGCAUUUCACUUUAAAUAUUUGGAUAAAUAUGUUAUCUUCUUACUUGGACAUUUCAUGUGUUUAGGGAUUGUCUUCUAAAUUCUUCCUAAUUCAUAUAGCUGCUAACACUUCCCGCAGAGCUAAACCAUUACAGAUAUGAAAUAAAGACCUAUUGAUUUGA
rnacentral:lncRNA from 1 species